AAAUAUUUAGUUGCUGCAAACCUGAAGAAACCUAUUUUGCUUCCCUCUUGGAUAAAAACACUUUGGGAGAAGUCACAAGAGAAAAAAAUAACUAGAUAUACUGAUAUAAACAUGGAAGAUUUCAAGUGUCCUAUUUUUCUUGGUUGCAUAAUCUGUGUGACUGGCUUAUGUGGCUUAGACAGGAAAGAAGUUCAGCAACUCACAGUUAAGCAUGGAGGUCAAUACAUGGGACAGUUGAAAAUGAAUGAAUGUACACACCUCAUUGUGCAAGAACCAAAAGGUCAGAAGUAUGAGUGUGCCAAGAGAUGGAAUGUACACUGUGUGACCACACAGUGGUUUUUUGACAGUAUUGAGAAAGGUUUUUGUCAGGAUGAAUCCAUAUACAAGACAGAACCUAGACCAGAAGCAAAGACUAUGCCCAAUUCUUCAACUCCUACCAGCCAGAUCAACACAAUUGAUAAUAUAUCUUUGCGGUUUUAGUGGCAGAAAGCUAGAUAAACUGAGAAGACUUAUUAACAGUGGAGGUGGAGUUCGUUUUAACCAGCUAAAUGAAGAUGUAACUCAUGUUAUUGUGGGAGAUUAUGAUGAUGAAUUGAAGCAGUUUUGGAAUAAAUCAGCCCACAGGCCUCAUGUAGUGGGAGCAAAGUGGUUGCUAGAGUGUUUCAGUAAAGGUUAUAUGCUUUCUGAAGAACCAUAUAUCCAUGCUAAUUACCAGCCAGUGGAAAUUCCAGUUUCACAUCAGCCUGAAAGUAAAGCAGCUCUUUUAAAAAAGAAGAACAGCAGCUUCUCUAAGAAAGACUUUGCUCCUAGUGAAAAGCAUGAGCAAGCUGAUGAAGAUCUGCUCUCUCAAUAUGAAAAUGAUAGCUCCACAGUAGUUGAGGCUAAGACGUCUGAAGCCAGGCCCUUUAAUGAUUCUACUCAUGCUGAGCCCUUGAAUGAUUCUACUCACAUUUCUUUGCAAGAAGAAAACCAGUCUUCUGUCAGUCAUUGUGUCCCUGAUGUUUCUACAAUUACUGAAGAAGGCUUAUUUAGCCAAAAGAGUUUCCUUGUUUUGGGUUUUAGUAAUGAAAAUGAAUCUAACAUCGCAAACAUCAUAAAAGAAAAUGCUGGGAAAAUCAUGUCCCUUCUGAGCAGAACUGUUG
rnacentral:sRNA from 1 species